rnacentral:rRNA from 1 species
UACGGAGGAUCCGAGCGUUAUCCGGAUUUAUUGGGUUUAAAGGGAGCGUAGGCGGGUUGUUAAGUCAGUUGUGAAAGUUUGCGGCUCAACCGUAAAAUUGCAGUUGAUACUGGCAUCCUUGAGUACAGUAGAGGUGGGCGGAAUUCGUGGUGUAGCGGUGAAAUGCUUAGAUAUCACGAAGAACUCCGAUUGCGAAGGCGACCUGCUAGAACAUAACUGACGCUGAUGCGCGAAAGCGUGGGGAGCAAACAGG